CGUAGAUGGAAAAAAGCUGUCCUCGAAAUGGUCUUGAUAUGUUCUUCAAAAGAGAGAUCAGGGUCCAGAGUAUACCCCUCGCAAGACCCACUGAUCGAUUCUUCUUUAUAAAACCAUUUUAGGCCUCACUCCCCCCUAUCUGAGAUAUCUACUGCAGCCCUGAUCCUCCACAUACAACACCCGUUCUGCCAGUCACAUUCUAUUUAAGGUCCUGAAAGCACACAGAUCCCUGGUUCGCUCGUCUCUUCAGUUCGCUGCAACAAACACUCAAACUGGACGGUUUCCUCUCAAUCUCUAAAUUCAAAGACUCAAUCGUGGACACUCUUACUGACAGUUGUGACGGGUGGGUAUCAUUUGGGGAACGUUCCAACAGGAAUCUGUUCCAAAAACUUCGUAAAUAACAAGGAUGCCAACAAACAACGCAUACACAGUUGUAUAGCGGCAGAACAGGAUACCGGGUAGGGAGUGGGCAAUUUUGUUACUUUUUCCACUCACCAGGUUUAUUCCGAAAAAUGUCUGUCCUCACUCUGGUAGCCUAUGGACAAACUAUGGACAAACAUUAAGAAUAAGCUACGUGGGGAUUCAGAUCCUGGGGGACAAGUUUCCCUACAAACUAGUGUCCAAGAAGAUUGACUGUGAGUGCACCUUAUCAAUGGUUCCUGAAUAAAUUGAAGCCAGAAGGAUCCUAUGGUUCUAAUGAUGAACUUAGCCUUAAGAUGCCUUUGGGCAUCGGCCCAGGUCAGUUUAAGAUGCUGGCUGGGUUUGAGGAUAAGUCGGCCUGGGCUCUGUGUACCUUUGCCUUCUGUCCAGGAAAAGAGGAACCGGUACAACUCUUCAGAGGGAUAACUGAGAUAUGCUGAGCUACCCAAGGAGGUGAAGAACACCAUUUCCCAUCGGUAUCAAGCUCUGGCAGCCAUGUCUGAACACUUCUCCUCUCAGGACAAUGGCACACCAGAUAGCAAGAAGAAGAAAUGGCUAUUAACCCCUGAUCUAGCAUCAGAUCACAUAACCAUUAGAGGGAUACAAAAUCUGACCCUGUAUCAGUGGUGGGGCAGCUUCUACCUACUCUGACUUAUGGGUAUCAGAGUCUGAGCCAAUCAAACAAUUCUGUUGUUGAAUUGAGAUAGUGGUGCUUUUGAUACAGUGCCUUCAAAAAGUAUUCACACCCCUUGACUUUUUCCACAGUUUGAUGUGUUACACAUGGGAUUAAAAUUGAAAAAGAAUUGUCAACGAUCUACACAAAAUACUCUACAAUGUCUAAGUUGAAGAUUUUUUAAAUCAAUUUAUAAAACACAAAACACUAAUAUAUCUUGAUUCGAUAAGUAUUCAACCCCCUGAGUCAAUACAUGUUAGAAUCACCUUUGGUAGUGAUUACAACUGUGAGUCUUUCUGGGUAUGUUUCUAAGAGCUUUGCACACCUGGAUUGUACAAUAUAUGCAAAUUAGUAUAUAAAAAAAUCAAGCUCUGUCAAGUUGUUAGUUGAUCAUUACAACACAGCCAUUUAAGUCUUGCCAUAGUUUUAAGUCAAAACUGUAACUAGGUCACUCAUUAAAUGUUGUCUUGGUAAGCAACUCCAGUAUAUAAUUGGCCUUGUGUUUUAGAUUAUUGUCCUGAAAAUAUGUAGAAUGGUGCUGUUGUGUUGGAUUUGCCCCAAACAACACUUUGUUUUCAGGACAUAAAGUUAAUUUCUUUGGUACAUUUUUUGCAGUUUUACGUUAGUGCCUUAUU